rnacentral:rRNA from 1 species
AUUGAACGCUAGCGGCAUGCCUUACACAUGCAAGUCGAACGGUAACAGGUCUUCGGAUGCUGACGAGUGGCGAACGGGUGAGUAAGACAUCGGAACGUGCCUAGUAGUGGGGGAUAACUACUCGAAAGAGUGGCUAAUACCGCAUGAGAUCUCCGGAUGAAAGCAGGGGACCGCAAGACCUUCUGCGUGUCGAGAGGCCGAUGGCAGAUUAGGUAGUUGGUGGGAUAAAAGCUUACCAAGCCGACGAACUGUAGCUGGUCUGAGAGGACGAUCAGCCACCCUGGGACUGAGCAACGGCCCAGACUCCUACGGGAGGCAGCAGUGGGGAAUUUUGGACAAUGGGCGAAAGCCUGAUCCAGCAAUGCCGCGUGCAGGAUGAAGGCCUUCGGGUUGUAAACUGCUUUUGUACGGAACGAAAAGCCCCGGGUUAAUACCCUGGGGUCAUGACGGUACCGUAAGAAUAAGCACCGGCUAACUACGUGCCAGCCGCCGCGGUAA